rnacentral:lncRNA from 1 species
GUUGUGUCAUUGUGUCAUUGUGUGGCUGUGUCGUUGUCGUGUUGUUGUGUUGUGUCGUUGUGUCAUUGUGUGGUGCGGCUGUGUGGCUGUGUCGUGUCGCUGUGUCGUUGUGUCGCUGUGUCGUUGUGUCGCUGUGUCGCUGUGUCGUUGUGUCGCUGUGUCGCUGUGUCGUUGUGUCGUUGUGUCGCUGUGUCGCUGUGUCGUUGUGUUGUUGUGUCGUUGUGUUGUGGUGCGGCUGUGUGGCUGUGUCGUUGUGUGGCUGUGUCAUUGUGUCGUUGUGUCGUUGUGUCGCUGUGUCGUUGUGUCGUUGUGUCAUUGUGUUGUGGUGCGGCUGUGUCACGCAGGCUGCUGUUCUGGUCGGACUGCGGUUCGGUUCCGCUGCUGGGCCGCGUUGGGCUGAACGGCGCCGAGCCCAAAGUGCUGCUGGAGCGCGGGCUGGGCUGCCCCUGCGCCAUCGCUCUGGGUGCGGCUGGGCGGACCCCCCCCGACCCCCCCGGCCCCCCCGGCCCCCAGCCCCUCCUGACCCCCGUGACCCCUCCCUGUCACCCCUGA